UGGGGAAUAUUGGACAAUGGGCGCAAGCCUGAUCCAGCCAUGCCGCGUGAGUGACGAAGGUCUUCGGAUUGUAAAGCUCUUUUGGCGGGGACGAUAAUGACGGUACCCGCAGAAUAAGCCCCGGCUAACUUCGUGCCAGCAGCCGCGGUAAUACGAAGGGGGCUAGCGUUGUUCGGAAUCACUGGGCGUAAAGCGCACGUAGGCGGAUUUGUUAGUCAGGGGUGAAAUCCCGGGGCUCAACCUCGGAACUGCCUCUGAUACUGCAAAUCUCGAGUCCGAUAGAGGUGAGUGGAAUUCCUAGUGUAGAGGUGAAAUUCGUAGAUAUUAGGAAGAACACCAGUGGCGAAGGCGGCUCACUGGAUCGGUACUGACGCUGAGGUGCGAAAGCGUGGGGAGCAAACAGGAUUAGAUACCCGCGUAGUCCCUGAGCGGGCUGGCAAGGCGCAU
rnacentral:rRNA from 1 species